GAUGAACGCUAGCUACAGGCUUAACACAUGCAAGUCGAGGGGAAACGACAUCGAAAGCUUGCUUUUGAUGGGCGGCGACCGGCGCACGGGGGAGUAACGCGUAUCCAACCUGCCCAUCACUUGGGAAUAACCUUGCGAAAGUAAGACUAAUACCCAAUGAUAUCCCACGAAGGCAUCGGAAUGGGAUUAAAGAUGUAUCGGUGAUGGAUGGGGAUGCGUCUGAUUAGCUUGUUGGCGGGGUAACGGCCCACCAAGGCAACGAACAGUAGGUGAUCGGAGAGGAGGAGCAGCGACACCAGAAUUGAGACGCGGCCCAGACCCCAACCCGAGGGGGCGGAGGAGUGUAGUGUACUAGGGCCGUGGGCAUGAUCCGAACCUACCAAGUUGGUGACAAGGAGCCCGGCCUUUUGGAUCGUAAAUGUUUUUAUAAGGGAACAAAGUGGGUAACGUGUGACUUUUUGCAUGUACCUUAUGAAUAAGAACCGGCUAAUUCCGUG
rnacentral:rRNA from 1 species